rnacentral:misc_RNA from 1 species
AUGAAUGAAAUUGAGUGGGGUUGUAGCUGGCCUGCUUUCUGCUGGGCAUGUGCACACCUCAUUCAACCCACCUCUAUACCUCUGUGCACCUCUCAUGGGUUGGGCUGCAUCUGAAAUAUUGAUGAGGCUCUUCUCAUGUGUUUUUACAAAUACUACUAUGGGUUAAGAAUGUUAUUACAAUGCAUAAAAGCAUAUAAUA